rnacentral:tRNA from 1 species
UUAGGAAAUAGUAUAAUUGGAAGCACCAAGAGUUUUGAUCUCUUGAGUAUAGGUUCAAGUCCUGUUUUUCUAG